rnacentral:rRNA from 1 species
GACGAACGCUGGCGGCGUGCUUAACACAUGCAAGUCGAACGGAAAGGCCCUGCUUUUGUGGGGUGCUCGAGUGGCGAACGGGUGAGUAACACGUGAGUAACCUGCCCUUGACUUUGGGAUAACUUCAGGAAACUGGGGCUAAUACCGGAUAGGAGCUCCUGCUGCAUGGUGGGGGUUGGAAAGUUUCGGCGGUUGGGGAUGGACUCGCGGCUUAUCAGCUUGUUGGUGGGGUAGUGGCUUACCAAGGCUUUGACGGGUAGCCGGCCUGAGAGGGUGACCGGCCCCGUGGGGCCGGAGUGACGCCCCAGCCCCCAGUGGGCGGCGACGGGGGAAAUUCUGGCCCAGGGGGGGGAGGCCAUAGACGGCAGCCCCGCGUGGGGAAAACGGGCUUUCGGUUGAAAAACCCCUUUCGCCGGAAACGAGGGGGGAGGGACGGUAUUGGAUAAGAAAGCCCCGGCUAACUACGUG